rnacentral:rRNA from 1 species
CGCGUAGGCGGGUCCUCAAGUCAGGGGUGAAAUCCCACGGCUCAACCGUGGAAGUGCCUUUGAUACUGGGGGUCUCGAGGGAGGUAGGGGCGUGCGGAACUUCCGGUGGAGCGGUGAAAUGCGUAGAUAUCGGAAGGAACACCGGUGGCGAAAGCGGCGCGCUGGACCUCUUCUGACGCUGAGGCGCGAAAGCCAGGGGAGCAAAACG